rnacentral:rRNA from 1 species
UACGGGAGGCAGCAGUGGGGAAUAUUGCACAAUGGGCGCAAGCCUGAUGCAGCCAUGCCGCGUGUAUGAAGAAGGCCUUCGGGUUGUAAAGUACUUUCAGUCGUGAGGAAGGUGUUAAGGUUAAUAACCUUAGCAAUUGACGUUAGCGACAGAAGAAGCACCGGCUAACUCCGUGCCAACAGCCGCGGUAAUACGGAGGGUGCGAGCGUUAAUCGGAAUUACUGGGCGUAAAGGGCACGCAGGCGGUUAAUUAAGUUGGAUGUGAAAUCCCCGGGCUUAACCUGGGAAUGGCAUUCAAGACUGGUUAGCUAGAGUCUUGUAGAGGGGGUAGAAUUCCAUGUGUAGCGGUGAAAUGCGUAGAGAUGUGGAGGAAUACCGGUGGCGAAGGCGGCCCCUGGACAAAGACUGACGCUCAUGUGCGAAAGCGUGGGGAGCAAACG